GCCGUGUGUGUGGCGGUGUGGCCGUGUGUGUGUCGUGGUGUGGCCGUGUCGCGGCGCGUUCGCGCCUUGGCGAUGCGUCGUGAGCGAGUCCGGGCGCCCUCUCCACGUGAUGUGGCUACGUGGUGGGUGCCCGGAGCCGUGCGUAUCCGCGAGUUCGCCGUGGAGGAGUAUCGCGGCGUGCCACGCUUCCUUCAAGAAGCUGCCAACAAGCGGCGCGAAACAUCGGACAUCGUGGCAACGGAGUCGCCCUCGCUCACCCUAACAACUGCCACCGUCCCCCACUAAGUGGCGCUUGUGCCGGGCUAGGUGUACCUCAAGGCCACGUGAAGUGUCGAAGGCUCGCUGAGGUCACGCGACAGAAGCAGAUGGACGUCUACGAGAUUCCAGGCGCAUCAAGCCACAGACAAACCGCUCCGACCGUCUCCUUUCGUUAACUUGCAUUGCAUCGUGACUGUCCCUGUUGGACUGAGCCACACAAUCAGCUGUCCACGUCUGCUGCUGUCAAUAUUUACGUACGAGCAGAGUGCGGGUGUUUUUAUUAUUAUUGUUUAUUAUUACUAAACGCUUUUUUUAAUUCACUCUGUUGUUGUAUCCUCAAAUCUUGUAACUCAAUUUUAACCCCACUUCCCAAUG